GCGCGAAAACUCCACACUGUACGAAAGUACGAUGGGGUUAUCUCGAGUGCAGUCCGAUAAGGGCUGCUUUUCCAUAGAGUAAUAUCCUGUGGGAAUAAGAGGGGGGCAAGACUGGUGUCAGCCGCCGCGGUAACACCAGCCCCUCGAGUGGUGGGGACUUUUAUUUGGCCUAAAGCGUCCGUAGCUGGCUGUAUCCGUUACCCGUUAAAUCCAGCGUCUCAAGCGUUGGGCCGCGGGUAAUACCAUGCAGCUAGAGGGUGGGAUAGGUGAGCGGUAUUUCUGGGGUAGGGGCGAAAUCCUUUGAUCCCAGGAGGACCACCAGUGGCGAAGGCUGCUCACUAGAACACGCCUGACGGUCAGGGACGAAAGCUGGGGCAGCGAACCGGAUUAGAUACCCGGGUAGUCCCAGCUGUAAACGAUGCUCGCUAGGUGUUGGGUUGGCCAUGCGCCACCUCAGUGCCGCAGGGAAGCCGUUAAGCGAGCCGCCUGGGGAUACGGCCGCAAGGCUGAAACUUAAGGAAUUGGCGGGGG
rnacentral:rRNA from 1 species